rnacentral:rRNA from 1 species
GCUAGCUGCGGGCCGGGGGGUGCGGGAAGGAGUAAGUGGGUAGCGUUGUCCGGAUUUAAGGGGGGGAAAGGGCGGGGGGGGGGUUUGGUAAGUUCAGGGUGAAAGCGCCCGGGUCAACUGGGUGAGGUCCUUGGAUACUGGCGGACUUGAGGGGGGUAGAGGAGAGUGGAAUGCCCGUGGUAGUGGUGAUAUGCGUAGAUAUCGGGAGGAACACCAGUGGCGAAGGCGGCUCUCUGGGCCCUACCUGACGCUGAGACGCGAAAGCGUGGGGAGCGAACCGGAUUAGAUACUCCAGUAGUC